rnacentral:rRNA from 1 species
UACGGGGGGGGCAAGCGUUGUUCGGAAUUACUGGGCGUAAAGCGUGCGCAGGCGGUUGUGCAAGACAGAUGUGAAAUCCCCGGGCUUAACCUGGGAAUGGCAUUUGUGACUGCACGGCUAGAGUGUGUCAGAGGGAGGUAGAAUUCCACGUGUAGCAGUGAAAUGCGUAGAUAUGUGGAGGAAUACCGAUGGCGAAGGCAGCCUCCUGGGAUAACACUGACGCUCAUGCACGAAAGCGUGGGGAGCAAACAGG